ACUCAAAUGAAUUGACGGGGGCUCACACAAGCGGUGGAGCAUGUUGCUUAAUUCGAAGCAACGCGAAGAACCUUACCUGGGUUUGACAUGCACGGAUUAGUUCCUGGAAACAGGAAUGAGGCCCGCAAGGGUACAACGUGCACAGGUGCUGCAUGGCUGUCGUCAGCUCGUGCUGUGAAGUGUUUGGUUAAGUCCAUUAACGAGCGCAACCCCUGUCGCUAGUUGCUAACGGGUAAUGCCGAGGACUCUAGCGAGACUGCCGCUGUAAAGCGGAGGAAGGUGGGGAUGACGUCAAGUCCUCAUGGCCCUUACAUCCAGGGUUGCAAACGUGCUACAAUGGCGCGUACAAAGCGACGCGAGGCCGCAAGGCGGAGCAAAUCGCAAAAAACGCGCCCCAGUUCGGAUUGAAGGCUGCAACCCGCCUUCAUGAAGUUGGAAUCGCUAGUAAUCGGAGAUCAGCUACGCUCCGGUGAAUAAGUUCCUGAGCCUUGUACACACCGCCCGU
rnacentral:rRNA from 1 species